rnacentral:lncRNA from 1 species
AAACAUCUAUAUUUAAUUAGGUCCAAGAGACAAAAAAAAAAUUAAAUCCUAAUAUAACAACAACAACAAUAAUAAUAAUAAUAUAAAAAAAGUAAUUAAAAAAAAAGAAGAAAAAAACUAGUUAACAAAAACAAUGACAAUAACGUUAGAGAAAAGAGAGAACAUUAUUUCUCAAAAAAAUUAUUUAAAAAGUCUCCUAUUACACGUUGACAUGUGGCUGAGAAUUUAAGAAAUUUAUUUUAAUAAAAC